GCAUAUUUUAAGUGCUCAAGCGACUGUCAAGAACAACGUAGCACAGUGCAUAGAGUGUUAGCCUUUGAAUCCGGAAGGCCUACAUCAAUAUGAAUUUUCUCGAUUACUCUGCGACCUUGGUAUGAAGAACUCUGCCCAGGAGUAUCAAAUAUAUCUAUCCAGAAUGGACCCAUGAAUCCAGAGCACAGAACAGAAGGAAAUAAAUGAGUAUCAAGCACAAAUCAAACCUGACAUCUCCUCACCCCCCCACCAUUCCCCCAAAAUGAAGAGGUCAAAUUCUUUGCUGUACACAUGGGAUUCCCUACAUCAAUGAAUCUUUAGUCUGGAUAAUAUCAUCAUCAACAUCAUCAUCAUGAUAUAGACUUUUUAUUAAUUGAGAAUGACUUACCUUUCACAUGAAAAUCUCAAAUAAUACCCUUGGGAAAGGUGUCUUGGAAUUAUAAAUGGAAUAACUCUUCUCCAAAUGGAAGGGAAAAAACAUAAA